GGAAUAUCAAAGCUGGCCGGUCUGAUUUUGGCUCCUCUGACUGUUUUCCUUAUAAACGCAGUUAUCGCCAUGGCUUUUAAAAUCUGGACACUACAGACAGCUGCUGCUGAAGGACAGAUACUACAGCAAAGUGAGAACCUGGAUUCUGAUGAAGCAGCAAUGACUUUGUACCCAGCAGCAAUAACAAAGAGGAGGCCUGCAUCACAGAGAGAAGUGGAGACUCAUGUUAUUUAUGAAGCCCAGUAAAUACUCGGGGAAACAUUGAUAAGGUUUCCGAUA